AGGUUGUACUGAAUAGUGCAAAUCUGCACCCUAAUGAUAUACACUGUCCCCAGACACUAAUACCUACGUUUUUAAUUACACUGACCUCUUUCUUUGUAGAGAGCUUCUGAACAAAGAGCAGCUUUUAUGACUGUUCAGAAAGUCGAUGAAGUCUCCAAUAGCCACCAACCAUAGAGGAGUUCGGCUGCUGGCUGGAAAACGCUCAGCUCUCUGAAUUGUUCCCCGGGCUACUGCAGGAGCUUGGGAAGAAGCUGAAACUGGAGGUGCAAAUUUCUGGGAAAAGGAGUCAUCUGUUACCCACGGAGGGCGGCUUGCAGGCUCAGCAUUGGCAGGGGUGUAGGAAUGAACCGGUGCUGGUGCUGUUUUAAGUAUCCCAAAAGAAACCAAAAUUGAAGUCACCUUACCUGGCUGGUAGACAGAGGGUUUUAUGCUGGCAGUAGUGACAACCCUUGGUUUUGAAGCAGCAGC